rnacentral:lncRNA from 1 species
CUCUCCACAGGCUUUUUAAAAACAAUCUGAGAUAGGCUCUUGCUAAGUUGGCCCAAGUGGGACUUGAACUUGUGGUUCUCCGGCCUCAGCCUCCCCAGUUCUGGGUUGGAUUACAGGGGUAUGCCACACACCUGGAGCUAGUGUAGUCUGUUUUUUUUGGUACCAGGGAUCAAACUCAGGACCUUGCACUUGUGAGGCAGGUGGUGGCAGCACUGAGGUAAAUUCUUCGCCCAGGCUACUGUAUUCUUAAGGGACGUGGACAGUACUUCCUCUGGUGCUUCAAAUUCUUGAGUGGCAAGACAUCUCAAGGCUAUUGUGUAACAUUCUGGAUAUUGAGAUCACCUUAUUUAUUGAUUUUAUUAGAUUAUGAUGAAGAUGACUAUGAUGCUGACUGUGAAGACGUUGAUUGCAAGUUGAUGCCUCCCCCACCUCCACCCCCGGGACCAAUAAAGAAAGAUAAAGACCAGGAUGCUAUUACUGGUGUGUCUGAAGAUGGAGAAGGCAUCAUCUUGCCCUCCAUCAUGGCCCCUUCCUCUUUCGCCUCAGAGAAAGUGGACUUCAGUAGUUCUUCUGACUCAGAAUCUGAGAUGGAACCUCAGGAAGCGACACAAACAGAAUCUGAAGAUGGAAAGCUGACCCUACCUUUGGCUGGGAUUGUGCAGCAUGAUGCCACCAAGUUGUUGCCAAGUGUUACAGAACUUUUUCCAGAAUUUCGGCCUGGAAAGGUACUUUCUAGAGAAUAUCCACAUUAUAAACCACUAAAUUCU